GGUAGUUCUACUUCACAUAUUUUUCUGCUCAGUGAGCAUUGCCCAAGAAAUUCUAAAGAAGUUGAAAAUAAUCCUUCAACGUACAUCGAAGGUAAUUUAUUCAAAAAAGGCGCUUACUUUCAAAAAAUCAUCGCUGAAAUAAGCAUUCGUCUUGGAUAUUUACAACCGUUGCCACUCGGUAGGUAGUCAGUUUUAAGCCAAUACCAAUACUUUAGAUUGCAGCGGAUGUGAUUUUUCUAAAAUUGACCAUUUUGGCACAUGAAUGGACGGAAUUUGCAGAAAUUUUUUUGUUUGGUUUGUAUGUACCUACCUUAUUAUUUCUGGCAGAUUCGAUUAUAUUGAUGAGUGAUAUUUGUGCCUAUGAAAAUGCUUGGGACAUUGGAUCAAAACCGCCAUUUUGCGCAGUUUUCUCAUCGGAUGAGUUGGAAGCAAUCAAUUACAUGACUGAUGUGAACAUGUAUUAUAGACAAGGACAUGGUAGUCAUUUUGUAAACCACUUGGGCUGUCCAAUUGUGCGAGAUAUGGUGAUGUCGUUGCAGAGCGCUAAUCAAGAUGUUUCAAAAAGUCAAAAAGGAAAAUUUUUAUUCUCUCAUUCGGAAACUAUACUUCCGGUAACAGCCGCGUUGGGCUUGAGAAGAGAUGAAGAGCCAUUGAGACAUGAUAAUUACCAAAAAAUGAUCAAACAACGAAAAUGGAGAUUAGCCUUAUUCGAUACAUUUGCUGCGAAUAUAAUCACAGUAUUAUACAAAUGUUCUAGUGAAAAUGUCACUCAAACCAAAGCAGUGAUCUACCAAAACGAACGUCCAUCGGUAUUUCCACAGUGUAAUAAUUCGAGUCUUUGCGAUUUGGAAAGUUUGCAAAAAAUGUAUUCUGAUGUUUUUAAUGAAAAUGAAUGUAAUACCAAAAUCUGCCAACUAACCCCACAAAGAGCAUCUUCAGCACGUUCUAUUUCAACGAAUCCAAUUAUAUUUUUCGCGAUAAUUUUUUCCACAUUUCAACGUUAUUUAGCUUGACGUUAUGAAAAAAUAAUUUUAACCUGGAUGCACAAAAAUAAA